AAGACUUUAGUUCAAAGGUAGAACGUAUGACUUUUAAUCAUUAUUGUAUGGGUUCGAAUCCCAUAAGUCUUA
rfam:Coccidioides immitis RS mitochondrial scaffold supercont3.7, whole genome shotgun sequence.